rnacentral:rRNA from 1 species
UACGGAGGGUGCGAGCGUUGUCCGGAAUCACUGGGCGUAAAGGGCGCGUAGGCGGCUUGAGAAGUCAACGGUGAAAGCUUGGGGCUCAACCCCGAGUCGGCCGUCGAUACUCUUAAGCUCGAGCACUGUAGAGGCAGGUGGAAUUCCGGGUGUAGCGGUGGAAUGCGUAGAGAUCCGGAAGAACACCGGUGGCGAAGGCGGC